GGGGGGGGCUGGGGAGGAGGAGGAGGAGGAGAAGGAGGAGGAGGAGGAGGAAGGUCCUGGAGGGGACCAGGGGGGUCUGGGGGGCUCAGGGCCCUCGGGGACCCCUCAGUGACCCCUCCCCAAAUUCUGCCCCCAGCUCCGACAGCCAGGAGGGGAGCGAGGAGGAGGAAGGGGGGGAAUGUUUUUGCUGCCCUGAACCAGGAGCAGAGCGAGGAGGAGGAGGAGGAGGAGGAAGAAAAGGAGAAAAAAUCAACCAAGGGCAAAAGCAGCAAGGAGGAAGAGGAGGCUGAGAAGAAGAGGAAGAAAAACCCCAAGAAGGAAAAACCCAAAGGGAAGAAACAGGGGAGACCCCCCAGUGAUGAGGAGGAGGCCGAAGGCUCCGAGGAGGCCCCGGGCAGGAAGGUGAGGGGGGAAUUUGGGGAGAAACCCCAAAAUUUGGGGAUUUUGGGGAUGGAGACCCCAAAAUUUGGGGUUUUUUGGGGUCAAAAACUCUAAAAUUUGGUAUUUUUUGAGGUCAAAAACUCCAAAAUUUGGGAUUUUUUAAGGUCAAAAACUCCAAAAUUUGGGAUUUUUUAAGGUCAAAAACUCCAAAAUUUGGGAUUUUUGGAGUUUUGGGGGAAGGUGAGACCUCAAAAUUUGGGGGUUUUGGGGGUUUAGACCCAAAAAUUUGGGUUUUUUGGGGAUGGAAAUGACAAAAUUUGGGGAUUUUUAGGGGGAUUUUGGGGAUGAGACCCCAAAUUUUGGGUUUUUGGGGGAGUAGAGGCCCCAAAAUUUGGGUUUUUUGUUUUUUUUUGGGGGUGUUUGGGUAUUUU
rnacentral:lncRNA from 1 species